rnacentral:rRNA from 1 species
UACGGGAGGCAGCAGUGGGGAAUUUUGGACAAUGGGGGCAACCCUGAUCCAGCCAUUCCGCGUGAGUGAAGAAGGCCUUCGGGUUGUAAAGCUCUUUCGGCAGGAACGAAACGGCGAGCUCUAACAUAGCUCGCUAAUGACGGUACCUGAAGAAGAAGCACCGGCUAACUACGUGCCAGCAGCCGCGGUAAU